AUGGACACAAGCUGUAAGAGACUCAGUUACUGAUACAACAUUGACAGUGAAAGAUCUGAUUGAAGGCAAGGAAUAUGAGUUCCGUGUGGCUGCAGUCAACAAAGCUGGAACUGGUCCAUUCAGUGAACCAUCUGAGCCAAGAAUUACUAAACCUCCUUAUGAUGUACCUGAGGCACCAGGCAAGCCUGAAGUCACAGCAGUUGAUAGCAAACAGAUAACAAUUUCCUGGUCGCCUCCCAAAUCAGACGGUGGCAGUCCAGUCACUGGCUACAUCAUUGAGAAGAAGGAAACUUCUACCACAAGAUGGACAAAGGCUAUUAGAGACUCAGUUAGUGAAACAUCACUGACUGUAAAGGAUCUGAUUGAAGGCAAGGAGUAUGAGUUCCGUGUGGCUGCAGUCAACAAGGCAGGAACAGGUCCAUUCAGUGAACCAUCUGAGCCAAGAAUCACUAAACCACCAUAUGAUGUUCCUGAAGCCCCUGGAAAGCCUGAUGUGACAGCUGUUGACAGCAAACAGAUCACCCUAUCAUGGUCACCUCCUGAGUCCGAUGGUGGCAGUCCAAUUACUGGCUACAUCAUUGAA